rnacentral:rRNA from 1 species
GAAUUUUGGACAAUGGGCGAAAGCCUGAUCCAGCAAUGCCGCGUGCAGGAUGAAGGCCUUCGGGUUGUAAACUGCUUUUGUACGGGACGAAAAGCUUUGGGUUAAUACCCUGGAGUCAUCACGGCACCGUACGAAUAAUCACCGGCUAACUACGUUCAAGCCGCCGCGGUAAUACGUAGGGUGCAAGCGGUAAUCGGAAUUACUGGGCGGAAAGCUUGCGCAGGCGGUUUUGGAAGACAGAGGUGACAUCCCCGGGCUCAACCUGGGAACUGCCUUUGUGACUGCAAGGCUAGAGUACGGCAGAGGGGGGUGGAAUUCCGCGUGUAGCAGUGAAAUGCGUAGAUAUGCGGAGGAACACCGAUGGCGAAGGCAACCCCCUGGGCCUGUACUGACGCUCAUGCACGAAAGCGUGGGGAGCAAACAGG